rnacentral:pre_miRNA from 1 species
ACAACACUUGGGCCGUCGAUCUAUCGAGCAAUAUCACCCGCUUGGUGGAAGGUCUUCUCUCCGUCGU